rnacentral:rRNA from 1 species
AGCGAACGCUGGCGGUAGGCCUAACACAUGCAAGUCGAACGGCAGCACAGUAAGAGCUUGCACUUACGGGUGGCGAGAGGCGGACGGGUGAGGAAUACAACGGAAUCUACUUUUUCGUGGGGGAUAACGUAGGGAAACUUACGCUAAUACAGCAUACGACCUACGGGUGAAAGCAGGGGAACUUCGGACCUUGCGCGAUUGAAUGAGCCGAUGCCGGACUAGCUAGUUGGCGGGGUAAAGACCCACUAAGGCGACGAUCCGUAGCUGGUCUGAGAGGAGGGUCGCCCGCCCUGGAACUGGACCACGGUCCAUGCUCCUGCGAGAGGGAGCAGUCGGCAAUGUUAGGCAAUGGGCGCAAGCCUGAUCCAGCCAUACCGCGUGUGUUAAGGAGGCCUUCCGUUUGUGAAGCCCGUUUGUUGGGAGAGAAAAUCAUCCGGCUGAUACCCCGCUGUUGUGACGGUACCCGAAGAAUAAGCACCGGCUAACUUCGUG